rnacentral:rRNA from 1 species
GAUGAACGCUGGCGGCGUGCCUAAUACAUGCAAGUCGAGCGAACAGACGAGAAGCUUGCUUCUCUGACGUUAGCGGCGGACGGGUGAGUAACACGUGGAUAACCUACCUAUAAGACUGGGAUAACUUCGGGAAACCGGAGCUAAUACCGGAUAAUAUUUUGAACCGCAUGGUUCAAUAGUGAAAGACGGUUUUGCUGUCACUUAUAGAUGGAUCCGCGCUGCAUUAGCUAGUUGGUAAGGUAACGGCUUACCAAGGCAACGAUGCAUAGCCGACCUGAGAGGGUGAUCGGCCACACUGGAACUGAGACACGGUCCAGACUCCUACGGGAGGCAGCAGUAGGGAAUCUUCCGCAAUGGGCGAAAGCCUGACGGAGCAACGCCGCGUGAGUGAUGAAGGUCUUCGGAUCGUAAAACUCUGUUAUUAGGGAAGAACAAAUGUGUAAGUAACUGUGCACGUCUUGACGGUACCUAAUCAGAAAGCCACGGCUAACUACGUG